CACGUAGGGUGCGAGCGUUGUCCGGAAUUAUUGGGCGUAAAGAGCUCGUAGGCGGUGUGUCGCGUCGGCCGUGAAAACCUGCAGCUUAACUGUGGGCUUGCGGUCGAUACGGGCAUCACUGGAGUUCGGCAGGGGAGACUGGAAUUCCUGGUGUAGCGGUGAAAUGCGCAGAUAUCAGGAGGAACACCGGUGGCGAAGGCGGGUCUCUGGGCCGAUACUGACGCUGAGGAGCGAAAGCGUGGGUAGCGAACAGG
rnacentral:rRNA from 1 species